AAAGUAACAGAGCAGGAGAUAAGGCCUUCUAAAUUAAACAGACUAUGCAAUAACGGAAGUAUAAACAGAGCUGUCUUUACAGGACGACUAUGCAAGUCACAUGCAGGGAGGUAGGAUUAAGGCUACAUAAACUCGUAAAUGGCAGAGAAUUGAGCAGUGAGACUGCAGGGACAUGAUCUAUGCAGCAAAAUUGCUUCAUUAAGCUAAAGUUGUUUUGGUGUAUAUCGUGUCCUUUUAAAACAAUGUGCAUGAAAGUGGGAUACAAGCAAACAAUUGCAAAAACAAUUUCACGCAAGUUGGUUUUCUGGAUGAACACAUGGGUUUGGGAA